rnacentral:ncRNA from 1 species
UGUUGAGGUCGGAAAUGGUUACCGACACACCUACAACGCUAAUCAAAAGCAAAUAGUAGGUACCUGAGAUGUAAGAUACACCGCCCUACCGAUA